rnacentral:lncRNA from 1 species
UUGCACAUUAGUGGCGCCUUUUGUAUCGAGACCUACCUCUUCAUAUUCUUCUUCUUCUUGUUUCGACUGUAAUCCAUGAAAGAAAUCUCGUAAAACUUGUUCUACUACUUUGCUAAUGCGCUCUACUAGGUCUUCUUUGAGUCUCUCAAAUCUUUGAUCCAAUCGCUGCAACCAUUGAUUCAUGUCACGAACUUUGCUUCAAAUAUCUUCUAAGAUCUCAAGGCUCUCCAUAUCAUCACGGAUCUUAGGGCUCUGACAUCAGUUGAUGCAAGUAGAAAAUAAUUAAAGUAAAAACAAUAAAAAAGGUAAAAGAAUUCACCCUCUCUCAAGGUCUAUAUGAGAAUCCACCCCAAAACAAUCUUUUCACAAGAGGUCUGCAAGGGAAUUCAGCCCAAAACGAUCUUUUUAUAAGAUCAACUUUACUCAAUCCAGAUCUUUUCACAAGAACAACUUUUCUCAAUUAUCAUUCUCGGAUCAUUCUAUCAUUUGUUUAUAAUGAAGAGACAUCUCCCUCUAAAUAGACUUUGAGGAAAAUAAAUAAUUAAAUAGAUAAAAGGACUGCAAAAAAUAAUUCUCUUUCUCUCUUCCAUGUUUUUCCUCUCCUUUCCUAUUUUCUCUCUUUCCUCAAGUGUCUCUAUACCCAUCACGUGGAGUCCUUUAUUCAAGGAAACUUCCCCAUCUUUAGGUACUCCUCAUAUCCUUUCCAUAUCUAAAUCUCAUAUCUUUCUCAUACUUAAAUCCCUCUUAAAUCUCUUAUUAAAUCUAAUAUAAGCUUAAAUAUCUUAUUAAAUCUAAUAUAAGCUUAAAAAAAACUAACUCACACGAAGAUUUACCUUUCCUAAAACCUCACACUACCCAUUCCUAAAAAUAUAAAUUUUAAAA